CUCACAAAAACUUGUUAUUUUAUUGCACUGAGAUCUUGGUAACAUCUGUGGCCCUCUCGGUCCCUGGCUAUGAGCUGCGGGCUCAUCACACACAUAGGGCCUUGGUGUAACCAGGGCCCCCAGCAGAGAGGCAGGGAGAGGACUGGGACCACCAGGAGAGGUGCCCCCUUCACAAACAUAAAAUUAAAUUAAACCCACGUUCUCAGUGAACAAGUGUCACCCUAAAAGCUUCAGUUCUUUACCUUGAUGUGUACGCACCCAGGAUCUGGGCUCACAUUCUGGGCCGCUCCUUUCCCUCUCAGUUUGGCUGAUGCUUCUCCUUGAGAGGGGAGGACUCGCCUACCUAACAGUGAUAAUCGCUGUGGAGUCAGGCCAGUGCUCAUCACUGCCUGGGAGAAAACGGGUGAUAUGUUUUCCUCAGAAAAAGGCGUUGUAAUUAUAUAGUGGAGAAAGGAAAAGACUGAUUUGGAGAAGAGGGAGAGAAACAAAAGGAGAUAAAUUUUGUGCGAGCAGACAACAGAUUUUUCUUUUUCCAACAAAACAUGACAAGAAUAUGGUCAGGGAAACAGUUCACACAGGAAUGAAUGUUGACAUCUUGAGAUGGGGAGAAGAAAAUCCUGCCCAUGGAGGCACCUGCCUUCCCUCCUGACAUGACAAAUGACAAAGUCACAGGGCACUGGGGUGGGCCCCUUAGUUCUGAGCAGGCGUGGCUGACAUGCAGGAGUCAGGCCUCCAGAAAAAGGCUCCCUGGCCAGUCCAGGCAGAGCUUGGUUCCCAUCUGCUGGGGCCAGAGCAGCCCCAGCUCAGGCCAUGGGGUAUUAUCCUCCCCACCUUUUAAGAGAGAAAUGCAAAACCAGGAAAAACAAAAACCACAACCCACAUGAAAAAAUUAAUGUAUCUCCCCGUAUAAAAAAUGUUUAACGCUUUUUUGAUACCACCUGGGUCCCCCAGGUCCCAGAACAAAGGGCAAAGCUCAGUGAGGAAGAAAGCAGGGGCUGGACGAGUGCACUGGGGCUCAGGCCGAGACCCCUUGGAGCACAGGGCCAGGCCAGACAUUGAGCCACACCCACAGGAAGUGAUCCCAAGAGGAGAGGAAGUGAUCCCAAGAGGACAUGUGCUGAGGGAUAAUCUUCAGGCUUAACUUCUGUACCUUUUACCAAUGGGACACUAGUCUUUUUUCUGGACAGUAUCAGCUCACUGAGGAUUUCCCGUAUUUAUUAAAUUACAGGUUCGCAGGCACAGCUUGAGCAGGAUAAAAAAAGGGAUAGUGAUCAUCUCCAGUUACACAAUCAUCUUCAAUUCAAAAGCACUCACAAAACUGAGCAAACGAAGCCAGUAUUUGCAUAUUAGGGAAAGGAGACAUAUUGCUAAUGGAAGCCACAGGCCUGGUCAAAAAUAAACGUUUUAUAUCAAGUAGUAAAAUAAAAGGAGGAAUCUACCCCAAGAACACCACCUCGGUAAGGACCCCGGGGUUACUGCAGCUGCAAGGGCUGGGGGCAGGAGCGGGGAGGUCCAGCAAAGCCACCUCGUAGCCCCCACCCCACCCCACCUCGGCUGUCCGCUCUCCAGAGGGGAUCUAGAGUUUCUUGAGAUGGAGAGAUGCACUGCCCUCCGCCCCUGCCACCCAACUCCAAAAGAAGUGAGAGGCUGCAGUGUGGGGCCAGCCUGGGGCGCUGGCUUUCCGAGGGUGGGCUGGUAAGGCAUACAGAGCCCCCGUGGGAGGAGGUGGGAGCCGCACGGUCUGUGGAGAAGGGCAACCAGCUGCACGCUGUCACCUCCGGAGCUCGAGGUCACCCUGGAAGGCUGAGCCGCGACCUCCCUGCCCUCCCCUGCGGGCAGGCUGGACGCUGCUGGCCAGCACCCCGGGGCGCUGGCCCCGCCCCGAUUCCCAGUCACCAUGCCGCCCCUGCUCCACGUGCCACCAUGAGGCCUGUCACAGUGCACGUCGUGUUCACCGGGGCAGAAGCCCAGGGCCUCUGCAGGCCGUCCCCCCACCGACAGGCCAGCGAGUCCACGGCAAGCGGCUCUUCAGUCCAGACAGACCAUCCGUGGGGAGGGAUGCCGUGUCUCUGGAGGCU
ensembl:lncRNA